CAUCCCACAUAGGGAUUAAUCAUUCCUCAGGAACAGCACGACUGCUUUUGGAGCUGCUGGCACCUCUCCCAUCUCCUCCAGAGCAGAGAACUCAACACUGCUUGAGUCAUCUUCCCAGGAGCUCUCUUCAAGCCUGUACUCAUCACCUCCCAGGAUGACGCUCUCUGUUUGCUGCCACGUGGAGUCUGGGCCUGUUAUUGAAGGUGAUGCAGGGAUAUGAGGGCACGGAGAGGAUUCAAAAUCCUGUUCCAAAGCACAGAGAUCACUGACAGACAGGGCAUCCAGACACAACAGAGCCGCUCCUGCAGGAGCUCAGGAAAGGAGGAAGCACAGCAGGAUAGGAGUGAUAAAUCCUGUGAAGGGGUCAUUACUGUAACGAGAUUACAAAACAAGCCAGCUGGUCCUUAACCUUUAAUCCUGGCUGAAGGAGGAAGGCAGAGCGUGGGCUUUGCCAGGAGCUGUGCACGCUCUGGGCCUGUGCCCUGACAUCUGGGAAGAGGCGUGGAUGGUGCAGGACCGGCCACAGCCCCUUCUCCCUCAGAGAGAGGGGUCCCAGCCUGGAAUCCAGCUCACAGCACAGCAAGAAGAGGAUGAGUUGCUCCUGUCUGAGCUGCCAGUUGUUCUCAGUGUCCUCCUCACGGGGAUGGAAAGAGGAGACUGGAGAGGGCCCUGGCCUGUGGUGUGAUUCAUUCCCAGCGUGGUGAUAUCGCCUUGCCUUGGAAGUGCCAGAUCAAGAGAUUCAGAAGCUCCUGAAGCUGGGAUGUGUGGCAAAUCCAGGCAGUCACAGCUAGGAAAUCGUCUCUGUGCAAAUCUGAGUGGGUUUAACAGACACCAGAGCUGUACAAUUACUGAUAUUGCAGUGGGCUGCAGUUUCACAGGCCUGCUCAGGCAGCACACGAGUGAGGAGGUGACAGUGACACUGCCUUGUCACAGGCAUCACCAGGACACGGCAGGGAUGCUUUGUUCCCCUUGUUCCCCAUCUCAGCCCCUUCUCUUUGGGCUGGGCCCCUCAGCCACGGCUCCCCUGGCUGUGUCAGCAUCAUCUCGGGGAAUUUCACUGCCUUUCACCCUCUGCAGCACCAACUUGUCCCACCACUUGCACAUCCUGCCACAGAAACUCCCUGCAGCCCAAGGCGAGGAAGGGCUGGUGGCUGAAUGUGAAUAAAUGUGAAUA